rnacentral:rRNA from 1 species
AGCGUUCUAAGGGCGGUGAAGUCAGACCGGAAGGACUGGUGGAGCGCUUAGAAGUGAGAAUGCCGGUAUGAGUAGCGAAAGAAGGGUGAGAAUCCCUUCCACCGAAUAUCUAAGGUUUCCUGAGGAAGGCUCGUCCGCUCAGGGUUAGUCGGGACCUAAGCCGAGGCCGAUAGGCGUAGGCGAUGGACAACAGGUAGAGAUUCCUGUACCAGUGCUAAUUGUUUAACCGAUGGGGUGACACAGAAGGAUAGGGAAUCGCACGAAUGGAAAUGUGCGUCCAAGCAGUGAGUGUGAGAAGUAGGCAAAUCCGCUUCUCGCGAAGCAUGAGCUGUGAUGGGGAAGGAAAUUAAGUACGGAAGUUCCUGAUUUCACGCUGUCAAGAAAAGCCUCUAGGAAGAGUAGUACUGCCCGUACCGCAAACCGACACAGGUAGAUGAGGAGAGAAUCCUAAGGUGAGCGAGAGAACUCUCGUUAAGGAACUCGGCAAAAUGACCCCGUAACUUCGGGAGAAGGGGUGCUCUAUUAGGGUGCAAGCCCGAGAGAGCCGCAGUGAAUAGGCCCAGGCGACUGUUUAGCAAAAACACAGGUCUCUGCAAAACCGUAAGGUGACGUAUAGGGGCUGACGCCUGCCCGGUGCUGGAAGGUUAAGAGGAGUGCUUAGCUUCGGCGAAGGUACGAAUUGAAGCCCCAGUAAACGGCGGCCGUAACUAUAACGGUCCUAAGGUAGCGAAAUUCCUUGUCGGGUAAGUUCCGACCCGCACGAAAGGCGCAACGAUCUGGGCACUGUCUCAACGAGAGACUCGGUGAAAUUAUAGUACCUGUGAAGAUGCAGGUUACCCGCGACAGGACGGAAAGACCCCGUGGAGCUUUACUGCAACCUGAUAUGGAAUGUUUGUACCGCUUGUACAGGAUAGGUAGGAGCCGAAGAGACGUGUGCGCUAGCAUACGAGGAGGCAAUGGUGGGAUACUACCCUGGCUGUAUGACCAUUCUAACCCGCCACGCUUAGCGCGUGGGGAGACAGUGUCAGGUGGGCAGUUUGACUGGGGCGGUCGCCUCCUAAAGAGUAACGGAGGCGCCCAAAGGUUCCCUCAGAAUGGAUGGAAAUCAUUCGCAGAGUGUAAAGGCACAAGGGAGCUUGACUGCGAGACUGACAAGUCGAGCAGGGACGAAAGUCGGGCUUAGUGAUCCGGUGGUUCCGCAUGGAAGGGCCAUCGCUCAACGGAUAAAAGCUACCCCGGGGAUAACAGGCUUAUCUCCCCCAAGAGUCCACAUCGACGGGGAGGUUUGGCACCUCGAUGUCGGCUCGUCGCAUCCUGGGGCUGUAGUCGGUCCCAAGGGUUGGGCUGUUCGCCCAUUAAAGCGGCACGCGAGCUGGGUUCAGAACGUCGUGAGACAGUUC